GACGGAGGGGGCAAGCGUUGUUCGGAUUUAUUGGGCGUAAAGGGCUCGUAGGCGGACUGGUAAGUCUGGCGUGAAAUCUCCACCACUCAACGGGGAGGAGCCGUCGGAAACUGCCAGUCUGGAGUAUGGUAGAGGACCAUGGAAUUCCUGGUGUAGCGGUGGAAUGCGUAGAUAUCAGGAAGAACACCGGUGGCGAAGGCGGUGGUCUGGGCCAUUACUGACGCUGAGGAGCGAAAGCCAGGGGAGCGAACGGGA
rnacentral:rRNA from 1 species